GUGCCAGCCGCCGCGGUAAUACAGAGGUCCCGAGCGUUGUUCGGAUUUAUUGGGCGUAAAGGGUGCGUAGGCGGCAGAGUAAGUUGGAUGUGAAAUCCUGGGGCUCAACCUCAGAAUUGCAUUCAAUACUGCUUUGCUAGGGCGCUGUAGAGGAGAUUGGAAUUUACGGUGUAGCAGUGAAAUGCGUAGAUAUCGUAAGGAAGACCAGUGGCGAAAGCGAAUCUCUGGGCAGCAGCCGACGCUGAGGCACGAAGGCCAGGGGAGCAAACGGGAUUAGAAACCCUGGUAGUCC
rnacentral:rRNA from 1 species